rnacentral:rRNA from 1 species
UACGUAGGGUGCGAGCGUUGUCCGGAAUUAUUGGGCGUAAAGGGCUCGUAGGCGGUUUGUCGCGUCGGGAGUGAAAUCAUCUGGCUUAACUGGGCGCUUGCUUUCGAUACGGGCAGACUAGAGGUAUGCAGGGGAGAACGGAAUUCCUGGUGUAGCGGUGAAAUGCGCAGAUAUCAGGAGGAACACCGGUGGCGAAGGCGGUUCUCUGGGCAUGAUCUGACGCUGAGGAGCGAAAGUGUGGGGAGCGAACAGG